rnacentral:rRNA from 1 species
ACGGAGACUACGAGCGUUACUCGGAUUCACUGGGCGUAAAGGGUGCGUAGGCGGCCAGGUGUGUUAGGUGUGAAAUCCCGAAGCUUAACUUCGGAAUUGCGCCUAAAACUAUUUGGCUAGAGUAUUGGAGAGGCAAGCGGAAUUCUAGGUGUAGCGGUGAAAUGCGAAGAUAUCUAGAGGAACACCAAAGGCGAAGGCAGCUAACUGGACAAUACCUGACGCUGAGGCACGAAAGCGUGGGGAGCAAAAAG